CAGCAGCCGCGGUAAUACGUAGGUGGCAAGCGUUGUCCGGAAUUAUUGGGCGUAAAGCGCGCGCAGGCGGUCCUUUAAGUCUGAUGUGAAAUCUUGCGGCUCAACCGCAAGCGGUCAUUGGAAACUGGGGGACUUGAGUGCAGAAGAGGAAAGCGGAAUUCCACGUGUAGCGGUGAAAUGCGUAGAGAUGUGGAGGAACACCAGUGGCGAAGGCGGCUUUCUGGUCUGUAACUGACGCUGAGGCGCGAAAGCGUGGGGAGCAAACAGGAUUAGAUACCCUGGUAGUCCACGCCGUAAACGAUGAGUGCUAAGUGUUGGAGGGUUUCCGCCCUUCAGUGCUGCAGUAACGCAUUAAGCACUCCGCCUGGGGAGUACGGUCGCAAGACUGAAACUCAAAGGAAUUGACGG
rnacentral:rRNA from 1 species